AACGAGACCUUAACCUGCUAAAUAGCCCGUAUUGCUUUGGCAGUACGCUGGCUUCUUAGAGGGACUAUCCGCUCAAGCGGAUGGAAGUUUGAGGCAAUAACAGGUCUGUGAUGCCCU
rnacentral:rRNA from 1 species